AUGAACGCUAGCGACAGGCCUAACACAUGCAAGUCAGGGGCAGCACAAGGAGCAAUCUGAGGUGGCGACCGGCGCACGGGUGAGUAACACGUAUGCAACCUGCCUGUAAGCGGGGAAUAACCCGUUGAAAGACGGACUAAUACCGCAUAAUACUAAAUUACUGCAUGGUAAUUUAUUUAAACAUUUAUGGCUUACAGAUGGGCAUGCGCAUGAUUAGCUAGUUGGAGAGGUGACGGCUCCCCAAGGCAACGAUCAUUAGGGGUUCUGAGAGGAAGGUCCCCCACACUGGUACUGAGACACGGACCAGACUCCUACGGGAGGCAGCAGUGAGGAAUAUUGGUCAAUGGACGAGAGUCUGAACCAGCCAAGUCGCGUGCAGGAAGAAUGUCCCUAUGGAUUGUAAACUGCUUUUGCAGGGGAAUAAAGUGCAUCACGUGUGAUGUUUUGUAUGUACUCUGCGAAUAAGGAUCGGCUAACUCCGUGCCAGCCGCAGC
rnacentral:rRNA from 1 species